CGACGUGAGUAACCUGCCUUGGAGAGGGGAAUAACACAUCGAAAGAUGUGCUAAUACCGCAUGAAAUGUCUGAAUCGCAUGGUUCUGGACAUCAAAGAUUUAUCGCUCUGAGAUGGACUCGCGUCUGAUUAGCUGGUUGGCGGGGUAACGGCCCACCAAGGCGACGAUGUCUAGGGGUUCUGAGAGGAAGGUCCCCCACACUGGUACUGAGACACGGACCAGACUCCUACGGGAGGCAGCAG
rnacentral:rRNA from 1 species